GGACGUGAGGUCAAUCUGGCUGCCUCCUCCGUUCCCUCAUGCGUCACCAGGAUUGAUUCCAUCCCCUUCCUCCCUCACAGCCUCGUGUGUAUCCAUCCCAAAGGUUGAAAAAGGACAGCCUUACCCCCAAAGAGAGAAUUCAUUCGUUCAGUCAAGGUAUAGAGUAGCUGUACUUCCUUCUAAAACCCCCAAACAAGCCCUCUGGGUUGCAAUUCGUGUCCUACAAGGGAGAAAAGUACUUAGUCUGAGAAGGG
rnacentral:snRNA from 1 species